AGUCGAACGGGAAACUUUUAUCGAAGCUUCGGCAGAUUUAGCUGGUUUCUAGUGGCGGACGGGUGAGUAACGCGUGGGUAACCUGCCCUAUACAGGGGGAUAACAACCAGAAAUGGUUGCUAAUACCGCAUAAGCGCACAGGACCGCAUGGUCCGGUGUGAAAAACUCCGGUGGUAUAGGAUGGACCCGCGUUGGAUUAGCCAGUUGGCAGGGUAACGGCCUACCAAAGCGACGAUCCAUAGCCGGCCUGAGAGGGUGAACGGCCACAUUGGGACUGAGACACGGCCCAGACUCCUACGGGAGGCAGCAGUGGGGAAUAUUGCACAAUGGGGGAAACCCUGAUGCAGCGACGCCGCGUGAAGGAAGAAGUAUCUCGGUAUGUAAACUUCUAUCAGCAGGGAAGAUAGUGACGGUACCUGACUAAGAAGCCCCGGCUAACUACGUGCCAGCAGCCGCGGUAAUACGUAGGGGGCAAGCGUUAUCCGGAUUUACUGGGUGUAAAGGGAGCGUAGACGGAUUAGCAAGUCUGAUGUGAAAGGCAGGGGCUCAACCCCUGGACUGCAUUGGAAACUGCCAGUCUUGAGUGCCGGAGAGGUAAGCGGAAUUCCUAGUGUAGCGGUGAAAUGCGUAGAUAUUAGGAGGAACA
rnacentral:rRNA from 1 species